GCGGAAGUGGACGGUCCUGGGAAUUCUAGGCUGAGAUUGUGUGCACGGCUUUUUCCAGAAGACCGGGAGAGGGACCCUGCCAGGCCACCCCUAGAUGCCCUCAGAAGGUGGCCCCUCUGGAUGGGCGGCUCUCGAAGGCCUCGUGAGGGACUUUGGGCGGCUCCUUUGGCCGGGUUCCUGCACUUCCCUCCCCCUCUGCUAUUCAUCCUCUUAUGGCCACUCUUCCAGUCCCUGCUCACAGGCAUGGAUACUAAGGUCGCGAAACAGACUCACAAAGGGCUUUGGAAUUUACACGCGGCAUGACAGUGGGACAAAAUGGAAAGCCAGUGGGACUUGAUUUUAAUUUGAAAUAGAUUGGGGCUAGAGAGAUGGAUUAGCGGUUAAAAGCACUGCUGCUCUUGAAGAUGACUGUUCCUUUGCCAGCAGCCACACGGUGGCUCCCAACCAUCCGAAACAACAGUUUCAGGGGGAUUACAUGCCCUCUGGCCUCCAGUACACAUACAUUCGUGUAGGCAAAAACUCCCACAUAAGUUUUUUGUUUUGUUUUAAAGUCAGGGUCUCACUUUGUAUCCCUGGCUGAACUGGAACUCUGCCUAGAUCCGGUUGUCAUUGAACUCAGAGAACCAUCUGCCUCCUACCUGCCUGUACUGGGAUUAAAAUCAUGGGCCACUGCAUCCAGUGGCAAUACAUAUUUAAAAAAGAAAAGAAAAGAAAAAGAAUUUAAGCCGGGCAUUGGUGGUGCACGCCUUUAAUCCCAGCACUUUGGAGGCAGAGGCAGGUGGAUCUCUGUGAGUUCGAGACCAGCCUGGUCUACAAGAGCUAGUUCCAGGACAGCCUCCAAAGCCACAGAAAAACCCUGCCUCGAAAAACAAAACAAAACAAAACAAAAAAAAAAAAAAAAAAAAGAUUUUAACGUGAAAUAGGCUUUGCAAGCCAGUUAGCAAGUUCUGUUACUGAAUGGCAAUUUGUGUAAGACCCUUCUGGGUAAACACCACCCCACCACCACCACCACCACCACCACCACCACCCCUUCAAUAUAAAUCAAAGCCUGUCUGUAAAGGGUGAUUGAUCAUCAUUGUAAGUUUUGUUUUGUUCAGAGACAAGGUCUCACCUUGUAGCCCUGGCUGGCUUGAGGAUUGCUAUGUAGAACAUUCUGGCCUUGAACUUACAGAGAUCCUCCUAUCUCUGCUUGCCUGCUAGAAUUAAAAGCAUGUGUCACCAUGCCUGGCUUGUUUCCAGUUUUAUAACCUGUCUUGGGUUCUGGACCCAGAAACCAAAGCUGAGGGUGUGUGAGAACCAAUGGACCUUGCUUUGAGCUCCGGGAAAACUAUAAGCCUUGCUGUCACGUCACAAGCACACCUGCAGUUCAACCUCUGUUUCACGCUACGUGGAAUUUGCCUGGCAAAGUGUGGGUUUGCUGAAACUACCAAAGGGAGGACCUUAUGUUUGUUUUAAUCUCCUUAGUAGUUCCACAAGGAGAAAUACAAUAUAGGUGCUCAGUGAACAUUCUGGGCUCAGCUUUCCUGGAAUGUCAAAGUUUGUGUCCUCAUUUCUCUCUUCAGGGAAACAAAGUAGCAGGUGUGGUGGCACACACCUUUGAUCCCAGUACUCGGGAGGCAGAGGCAGGCAGACACGGCCAGCCUGGUCUACAGAGUGAGUUCAGGAUAGCCAGGGCUACACAGUGAGAUUGUCUCAAAACAAAAGUAUGGAGAAGUAUCGGGAGGAGAUGAAGUCCUGGUUGAACGUGUCUUGCUGGCCAUGUUAAAGACUCCCAGUGCCUCAGGCCAAUGUGAGCUGCAAAGCCUUCCUUCCUCUGACUUGAAUGUGAAUAUUGACAAUGUGGAAAAAAAAAAAAAAUGGCCACGGAAGUCCUCCAAGUCUGAAGACUACACCUGUAUAGAGACUAUUUCUACUGAGAUUAAUUAAACCUGCCUUCUUGUUCAGCUGUAUGUAGUAACCCACUUCCCUGUUCAACUCUGCAAUAAACACCCUGAGCUUCCUGGGUGCUGUGCCGUCUGUAUCAGAGAGCCCAGCUCACCCAAUCCCAGCUUUUCCUGUACGUGUGUCUGUCAUUCCUUCAUACCUCACUGCCCCUCCAGAACCCAAACUGUUCAAGGAUGAGGUGAAGAAUUAAAGGCUAUGGUCAGGCUUGGGGUGCAGGUGUGUCAUAUCACUUGCUUGGGAGGCUGGAGCUAGAGAAUUGCAAGUUCAAGGCCUAUCUGGACUAAAGAGGCAGUUCAAAGCUAGUCUUGGGAACUCAACAAGAACAUACCACAAAAUGUAAAAGGCAAAACAAGGGCAGGGGGAAAAAAGGGGGUGGUGGUGGAGAGAUGACUCAGUGGUUAAGAGCACUAACUGUUCUUCCAGAGGUCCUGAGUUCAAUUCCCAGCAACCACAUGGUGGCUUGCAAAACACCCUGAAU
ensembl:lncRNA